rnacentral:rRNA from 1 species
CGGUAACAGGAAGCAGCUUGCUGCUUUGCUGACGAGUGGCGGACGGGUGAGUAAUGUCUGGGAAACUGCCUGAUGGAGGGGGAUAACUACUGGAAACGGUGGCUAAUACCGCAUAACGUCGCAAGACCAAAGAGGGGGACCUUCGGGCCUCUUGCCAUCAGAUGUGCCCAGAUGGGAUUAGCUUGUUGGUGAGGUAACGGCUCACCAAGGCGACGAUCCCUAGCUGGUCUGAGAGGAUGACCAGCCACACUGGAACUGAGACACGGUCCAGACUCCUACGGGAGGCAGCAGUGGGGAAUAUUGCACAAUGGGCGCAAGCCUGAUGCAGCCAUGCCGCGUGUAUGAAGAAGGCCUUCGGGUUGUAAAGUACUUUCAGCGGGGAGGAAGGUGUUGUGGUUAAUAACCGCAGCAAUUGACGUUACCCGCAGAAGAAGCACCGGCUAACUCCGUGCCAGCAGCCGCGGUAAUACGGAGGGUGCAAGCGUUAAUCGGAAUUACUGGGCGUAAAGCGCACGCAGGCGGUCUGUCAAGUCGGAUGUGAAAUCCCCGGGCUCAACCUGGGAACUGCAUUCGAAACUGGCAGGCUUGAGUCUUGUAGAGGGGGGUAGAAUUCCAGGUGUAGCGGUGAAAUGCGUAGAGAUCUGGAGGAAUACCGGUGGCGAAGGCGGCCCCCUGGACAAAGACUGACGCUCAGGUGCGAAAGCGUGGGGAGCAAACAGGAUUAGAUACCCUGGUAGUCCACGCCGUAAACGAUGUCUACUUGGAGGUUGUGCCCUUGAGGCGUGGCUUCCGGAGCUAACGCGUUAAGUAGACCGCCUGGGGAGUACGGCCGCAAGGUUAAAACUCAAAUGAAUUGACGGGGGCCCGCACAAGCGGUGGAGCAUGUGGUUUAAUUCGAUGCAACGCGAAGAACCUUACCUGGUCUUGACAUCCACGGAAGAAUCCAGAGAUGGAUUGGUGCCUUCGGGAACUGUGAGACAGGUGCUGCAUGGCUGUCGUCAGCUCGUGUUGUGAAAUGUUGGGUUAAGUCCCGCAACGAGCGCAACCCUUAUCCUUUGUUGCCAGCGGUCCGGCCGGGAACUCAAAGGAGACUGCCAGUGAUAAACUGGAGGAAGGUGGGGAUGACGUCAAGUCAUCAUGGCCCUUACGACCAGGGCUACACACGUGCUACAAUGGCGCAUACAAAGAGAAGCGACCUCGCGAGAGCAAGCGGACCUCAUAAAGUGCGUCGUAGUCCGGAUUGGAGUCUGCAACUCGACUCCAUGAAGUCGGAAUCGCUAGUAAUCGUGGAUCAGAAUGCCACGGUGAAUACGUUCCCGGGCCUUGUACACACCGCCCGUCACACCAUGGGAGUGGGUUGCAAAAGAAGUAGGUAGCUUAACCUUCGGGAGGGCGCUUACCACUUUGUGAUUCAUGACUGGGGUGAAGUCGUAACAAGGUAACCGUAGGGGAACCUGC